rnacentral:rRNA from 1 species
AACGUAGGAGACAAACGUUAUCCGGAGUUACUGGGCGUAAAGGGCGUGUAGGUGGUUUCGUAAGUCUGGCGUGAAAUUUUUCGGCUUAACCGGGAAAGGUCGUCGGAUACUGCGGGACUAGAGGACGGUAGAGGCGUGUGGAAUCCGGGUGUAGUGGUGAAAUGCGUAGAGAUCCGGAGGAACACCAGGUGGCGAAGGCGGCCUCUGGACAGUGACUGACGCUGAGACGCGAAGCG